AUAUUUAUAUAAGGUCUAGCCUGCCCAAUGAUUUAUUUAAAUGGCCGCAGUAUAUUGACUGUGCGAAGGUAGCAUAAUCAUUAGUUUUUUAAUUGAAAGCUUGUAUGAAUGGUUGGACGAAAUAAAUUCUGUCUCUUUUUAAUAAUUAGAAUUUAAUUUUUUAGUAAAAAAGCUGGAAUAAGUUUAAAAGACGAGAAGACCCUAUAAAGCUUAAUAUUUUUAAAUAAAAAGAUUUUUAGGAUUUAUAAAAAUUUUUUUAUUUGAAUUUAUUGGAUUGGGGAAAUUUAAAGAUUAAUAUAAUUCUUUUUUAAUUUAUACAUUAAUUAGUGAUUAUUUGAUCCAUUUUUAUUGAUUAUAAGAUUAAGUUACUUUAGGGAUAACAGCGUAAUUCUUUUGGGGAGUUCAUAUUUAUAGAAGAGUUUGCGACCUCGAUGUUGGAUUAAAAUUUAAUUUGGGUGUAGAAGUUCAAAGUUUUGGUCUGUUCGACUAUUAAAAUUUUACGU
rnacentral:rRNA from 1 species